AAUACUCUCUCUCUCGCAGUUCUGGUUUGCUCUCUGUUUGUGUAUCGAAAUUGGAAUUAGGUAUAGGCGCAUCUGGAUAGUAGCAAGUUCGAAUCAUUUUUACGAAUGCCCCCUGCUUUGAAGUCAAGGCGAGAGAAACCUACUUGGAUCGCUCUUCUCCGAAACACAACAAAGCAGACUGCAUGUGGAGAUGAUAACAAAACAAAACAUCUCCUUCCAGCAUCGGACUUUGGAUUUGGAUUGGACGCAUGCGUCUUCUUCAACUGGUUUGGUUACCGUGUGUUCCGGUUUGGGCCAUUGACUGGAGAUUUCCAGUUGGAUUGUUUCAAACAAAAAUAUUGCAAUGUGUCAAUGGAAUGCGAUGCUUUGUGUUACAUUUCUUUCGCCGAUGAUUAAAACGAUGAGCAUGAA